UACGGAGGGUGCAAGCGUUAUCCGGAUUCACUGGGUUUAAAGGGUGCGUAGGCGGGUAAGUAAGUCCGUGGUGAAAUCUCUGAGCUUAACUCAGAAACUGCCGUGGAUACUAUUUGCCUUGAAUAUUGUGGAGGUGAGCGGAAUAUGUCAUGUAGCGGUGAAACGCUUAGAUAUGACAUAGAACACCAAUUGCGAAGGCAGCUCACUACACAAUCAUUGACGCUGAGGCACGAAAGCGUGGGGAUCAAACAGG
rnacentral:rRNA from 1 species